rnacentral:lncRNA from 1 species
CUUGGUGAGUCUCUGUUCUACGAUUUUCAGGCCAUUCACUGCUUAGGUAAGCCUCGACAAACCCUUAGAACCUUCAUUUCAAUUCUAUGGGUUGAUAUUGAUCUCUUGUUUGUGUUUUGAACGUAUGGUUUUACACAAAAAACUCGAGAAGAGAAAACUGCAUGUUUUUCAGUCAAGGACUGUGACCAUUUGGAAUGGUCACCUUCAACCCAUUUGUCCGGUCAACCUCGACCACAGCUGGACUCCUAUUAGGUACAAACUUGUUCUCUACAUUCCUAACUUCAAAAUGGCUUUUGAAUCACUGAGUUUGGUUAAGAGUUAGAAAUCAACUCUGGAAGUUAGGAAGAAAUUUCCAGUUUUCUGGAAAUCUACAACUGUGGUCAUUUGACCACUUUCAGGCCAAAUUCCUGAACAACUCAGACCGUAUUCGAACUUUCUGUGAAUUGAGAUCGAUCCAUCACAUUCCUAGCUUUAAUUUGGCUUUUGUAUAAGUGUUUUUGGUUGAGAAUCGAGCUCGUUAAGAGAUGUGAAAGUUGGCCCAAAAAUCUGCAAAACUGUAGAAAUUCGCGAGGAAG